AUUACUAGUAGUACAUACUAGUAUGUACUACUAGUACUAGUAUUAAUAGUACUAUUAUGUACUAGUAGUAUGUACUACUCAUAUUAGCACUAC
rnacentral:tRNA from 1 species